AGAGGAUCACAAAAUUACAGGAGUUGUUCUUUCAUUUGACCCAAAACCAAUCAAGGGAGACUGGAAUGGUGCUGGUGCACAUACUAACUACAACACAAAGUCAAUGAGAAAGGAUGGUGGAAUUGAAGUGAUAAAGAAGGGUAUUGAGAAGCUGGGUCUG